AGAGUUUGAUCCUGGCUCAGAUUGAACGCUGGCGGCAUGCUUUACACAUGCAAGUCGAACGGUAACGCGGGGGCAACCCUGGCGACGAGUGGCGAACGGGUGAGUAAUACAUCGGAACGUGCCCAGUAGUGGGGGAUAGCUCGGCGAAAGCCGGAUUAAUACCGCAUACGACCUACGGGUGAAAGCGGGGGAUCGCAAGACCUCGCGCUAUUGGAGCGGCCGAUGGCAGAUUAGCUUGUUGGUGGGGUAAAAGCCUACCAAGGCGACGAUCUGUAGCUGGUCUGAGAGGACGACCAGCCACACUGGGACUGAGACACGGCCCAGACUCCUACGGGAGGCAGCAGUGGGGAAUUUUGGACAAUGGGCGCAAGCCUGAUCCAGCAAUGCCGCGUGUGUGAUGAAGGCCUUCGGGUUGUAAAGCACUUUUAGUGGGAACGAAACGGUCCGGGCUAAUACCCUGGACUACUGACGGUACCCGCAGAAUAAGCACCGGCUAACUACGUGCCAGCAGCCGCGGUAAUACGUAGGGUGCAAGCGUUAAUCGGAAUUACUGGGCGUAAAGCGUGCGCAGGCGGUUUUGUAAGACCGAUGUGAAAUCCCCGGGCUCAACCUGGGAACUGCAUUGGUGACUGCAAGGCUUGAGUGUGUCAGAGGGAGGUGGAAUUCCGCGUAGCAGUGAAAUGCGUAGAUAUGCGGAGGAACACCGAUGGCGAAGGCAGCCUCCUGGGAUAACACUGACGCUCAUGCACGAAAGCGUGGGGAGCAAACAGGAUUAGAUACCCUUGUAGUCC
rnacentral:rRNA from 1 species